rnacentral:rRNA from 1 species
UGUGUAGGCGGGUCGUUAAGUACCUUGUGAAAUCCCACGGCUCACCCGUGGAACUGCUGGGUAUACUGGCGAUCUUGGGCCAUUUAGGGGCAACUGGAACAAGCGGUGGAGCGGUGAAAUGCGUAGAUAUCGCUUGGAACGCCAAAGGUGAAAACAGGUUGCUGGGAAUGUGCCGACGCUGAGACACGAAAGCCAGGGGAAGGCAAACG